UACGUAGGUGACAAGCGUUGUCCGGAUUUACUGGGCGUAAAGAGCGUGUAGGCGGCCAAGCAGGUCCGUUGUGAAAACUGGAGGCUUAACCUCCAGACGUCGACGGAAACCGCGUGGCUAGAGUCCGGAAGAGGAGAGUGGAAUUCCACGUGUAGCAGUGAAAUGCGUAGAGAUGUGGAGGAAUACCGAUGGCGAAGGCAGCCCCCUGGGAUAACACUGACGCUCAUGCACGAAAGCGUGGGGAGCAAACAGG
rnacentral:rRNA from 1 species